rnacentral:rRNA from 2 species
GGGGAAUUUUCCGCAAUGGGCGAAAGCCUGACGGAGCAAUACCGCGUGAGGGAGGAAGGCUCUUGGGUUGUAAACCUCUUUUCUCAGGGAAUAAAAAAAUGAAGGUACCUGAGGAAUAAGCAUCGGCUAACUCCGUGCCAGCAGCCGCGGUAAUACGGAGGAUGCAAGCGUUAUCCGGAAURAUUGGGCGUAAAGCGUCCGCAGGUGGCUAUGUAAGUCUGCUGUUAAAGAGCAAGGCUCAACCUUGUAAAGGCAGUGGAAACUACAUAGCUAGAGUGCGUUCGGGGCAGAGGGAAUUCCUGGUGUAGCGGUGAAAUGCGUAGAGAUCAGGAAGAACACCGGUGGCGAAAGCGCUCUGCUAGGCCGCAACUGACACUGAGGGACGAAAGCUAGGGGAGCGAAUGGGAUUAGAUACCCCAGUAGUCCUAGCCGUAAACGAUGGAUACUAGGCGUUGCUUGUAUCGACCCGAGCAGUGCCGUAGCUAACGCGUUAAGUAUCCCGCCUGGGGAGUACGCACGCAAGUGUGAAACUCAAAGGAAUUGACGGGGGCCCGCACAAGCGGUGGAGUAUGUGGUUUAAUUCGAUGCAACGCGAAGAACCUUACCAAGGCUUGACAUGUCGCGAAUYCYUCUGAAAGGAGGGAGUGCCUUCGGGAGCGCGAACACARGUGGUGCAUGGCUGUCGUCAGCYCGUGUCGUGAGAUGUUGGGUUAAGUCCCGCAACGAGCGCAACCCUCGUUUUUAGUUGCCAGCACUUCGGGUGGGCACUCUAGAGAGACUGCCGGUGACAAACCGGAGGAAGGUGGGGAUGACGUCRAGUCAGCAUGCCCCUUACGCCUUGGGCUACACACGUACUACAAUGCUACGGACAGAGGGCAGCAAGCAUGCGAAUGCAAGCUAAUCCCGGAAACCGUAGCUCAGUUCAGAUCGCAGGCUGCAACUCGCCUGCGUGAAGGAGGAAUCGCUAGUAAUUGCAGGUCAGCAUACUGCAGUGAAUUCGUUCCCGGGCCUUGUACACACCGGCCCGUCACACCAUGGAAGCUGGUCACGCCCGAAGUCGUUACCCCAACCGCAAGGAGGGGGAUGCCUAAGGCAGGACUGGUGACUGGGGUGAAGUCGUAACAAGGUAGCCGUACCGGAAGGUGURGCUGGAUCACCUCCU